rnacentral:rRNA from 1 species
UGGGGGAUAUUGCGCAAUGGGGGAAACCCUGACGCAGCAACGCCGCGUGAAGGAAGAAGGUCUUCGGAUUGUAAACUUCUUUUGUCAGGGACGAAGAAAGUGACGGUACCUGACGAAUAAGCUCCGGCUAACUACGUGCCAGCAGCCGCGGUAAUACGUAGGGAGCGAGCGUUGUCCGGAUUUACUGGGUGUAAAGGGUGCGUAGGCGGCCGAGCAAGUCAGUUGUGAAAACUAUGGGCUUAACCCAUAA